AAGUUGCCAAGGUUGCUUUGCUGGCUGUGGAAUUCUGGGAGUUGAAGUCCACAAGCCUUAAUGCUGCAAACUUCACAUUGAAACCUGCUUUAAACUGAAAAACUCAAAAGAUUUGCAAAGUGGCAUUCAGUGGUUUGUUUCUGGGUCAACUGAACAACAAACUGGAUAAAAGUGCAGAUGUUUAAGGUGGCUGAAAAUUUCAUAUCUCAUACCCCACCAGUUCUGUUGCUAGGCCGGAACAAUGAUAACUUCAGAGGAAAGUCCUGGAAGCUGUCACCUUCACAAUGGAUGUACCAGGAAUGGAAUCCCCCUUUUGAGAACCAUGUAAUUGUCUCCUGGCUUCCAGGAAUAAAAAAUGCUAAAGGGGGAAAGUUCCUUGAAGAUCAUCUGAUGUAUGCACUGUGGAGAAAGCCUCUACUUUAGCCUUCUCAGAAACUGCUGAAAACUUGUCCAGAAAAGAGUUCAGCCCUCUUGAAACAGUUUUUUUUCCCUAUUCCUGAACAGCUCUUACUGUUAGGAAUUUUGUCCUGGUACCCUAUUGAAUAUAUAUUUGUGUGUAAGUCCACUGUUUCUUAUCUUGUUCUCUGGAGCAAUUUUGAACAAUUCUGCUCUAUCUUUUACACAACAGCCCUUCAUAUACUCAUAUCUCCCUGCAGUUUCUUCAAAUUGAACCAAUCCAACAUUUCUAAGCAUUCCUAAGUUUUAUUUCCACCCCUCCCUCCCUUAUCUCCAUUGUGUACAUUCUUCAGUUUACCACUCUCUUUCUUAAAAUUUGGUAUCAAAAGAGCACAUAAUAUUCUUCCGACCCAGAUACUGUACUUCUGUUGUUGCUGCUUAGAAUUUUAUUUCUAUUUUUUGUAGUUACAUCAGACUGUGGGCUAACAUUCAGUUUGUGAUGCACCAAGGAAAUUUAGUUUUUUUUUGCAUGUCCUGUUGUCUUAUAUCCUAUUCUUAUUACCUUAUAUUAAUUCCUUUUUUUCCCUCCCCAAAUGUAGGACUCUAUAAAUGUCCAGAUUCAUCUUCGGAAAUUUUCCCAAUGUUACAGUUUUCCAGUUCCUAAAUCAUCACUUUGUCCUUUAAUGUGUUUGCUAUCCUCACCCAUCUUUGUUUCUUUGCGUAUUUGGUAAUAAUAUUUUCUAACCUCUCUAUUGUUAUUAAUCUGGUGAACAAUGUAACACACAAUACCAGGCUUUAUUUUAGCUUGAUAUGGAGCCAUCAACGUAUCUCUGAGUGAGGGAGGUGGGCAGUUAAGAAAUAUGAAAUAUAGA